rnacentral:lncRNA from 1 species
CUUUUCGUUUUCAAGAGUCAUCUUCCUCCAGAUUUUCUUUCUUACGAUUAUUAUUGUUCUCACUUUCUUUGAUUUUUUCCAGAGAAUCAUAUUUCAAGAUCUCUCAUUUUUCCCAGAUUCAUCUCUUUGUAAUCUUUCUCUUCAACUCUAGUUUCAUGCGCGUCUCUCUACUUUCACAACUUUUCAUCUCUGCAUCUUCUAGAAUUCGGAAACGUUUCGGUGUACGGCGCCUUCGCCUGAGCUGGAGCGUGCUCCCCCCCCCCUCCCCCCUUCCGGAUCUCGAGCCACAUGAUGGAAUAGCACCGGCUGCGUGUACUGGAGGCACUUCUUCUCUCUCUCAGCGAAUCUGAUGGUCUCUGUUUCGAAGACCCUAAGAGAGCUCUGUAGUUCUAGUGUCUCAAUGGGAGUAAGGCGUGCUCUCUUUAGUUUGAGGACGCAGAGACGUCUCUGAUUGUAGAGAGGCUUUGGUAUCGGCGGAUCUGUUGAAAGGAAUGGCGGUUCCCUUAGAUUGUUUCUCGUCAGUCUUGAUCCUUUCUACUCCGCCGUGACGGAUGAGGUCGAACGUGGAAGCUCGGACCCCUGAGACGGCGAGGAUCUUGCGUAAAUGCGGUGGUGACGCCUGCGUUUGUGGUCAUGGGGCACCUUCGGGGUGGGGUCUCUUUGCGGGGACUGAGGCGGAUUGGGCUUGGGCACCCCAUGAAGCUCUGAGAACCCGAUUGAAAAACCACUGUGUUCACCGGAGGGGAAGCUAGCUUCCGGAGCCUUCUUUCCCAUGACCUAUCUUCUUGCUGCUGAUGUUUUAUGCUUGUAGAUUUCUUUGUCCUUCUUGUUGUAACCUAGCCUUUACUGUUUCACCGCCACACCGACACCGUUAUACUAUUCCGAUUUGCCCAGUUGGGAAGUUUAAUGAAUUUAUUUGAAAAAAAAAGUUAAAAGAUCUUAUCUUCGUAAAGUUGAAGAAUUAUGUCAUAAGUAUAUAUAGUGUUGUAAUUUUUUUUAUCAUAGGUUAGUACUAAAUAUAUCUGGAUGUCAACAUUUUAUCCAAUUGAUGCUAAAGUUAGAUCAAAAGAACCAUAUUCUGUUAAAAUAUUUUUGGUAUGACAGACGAAGAUUUAGGUGAAUUAAAAUCUGACACCACAUCUGACAGCUGCUGUUUUUAAAAGAGGGAUUAUACAAGACGAAAGGGAGACACUCGUAAUUUUCACCGUCCUUCCGUUACCAGGCAUGCAAAUAUAAUAAUUUUUUGCUACUUACCUAAUUAUUUUCCAUUCUAUGUAUAUUAAGCUAAAUAGCUCUUAUUUUUAAUGGUAAGAAUCUCAGCAAAAUAGUGUAUUUCUAAAAAUAUUUGAAUGUUUAACCUAUUAAAAUGAGUUCGAUCAUUUUCAAAAAAAAAAUUAUUAAUCAUAAAUCAGUCUCCGCAAGUUGGUAACAGAAAACAAAAGAUUCUGCAAAAUGAAAAUAUUAAUAUUUUGUAUUCUGUGAAUGUUAUUUUUUUUUUGACAAAGACAUUCAGUGAAUUAGUAAACACAUGGUAACCGCUGAAAUGUAAAUCUCCACAAAAACAUUUUGUUCAAAACGUUUAUGUUUACAUCAUCUUUUUUUUAAUCAAAGAUAUAUCUCAACAACUCACAUUUCCCCUCACAGUUUCAGUUUAUGGUUACAUCUUUUGUUCAAACACUUACGUUAUGGCUUCUCCCGUUCUUCACCUCCGUCUACAAGCUCCGGGCUUCUCCUCUUGUGUGUGUGCUCUCUCCGAGAGGCUUCUGGUUUUGGUUUCAACGGAGUCUACCUCAGCCUGCACCGGAGUGGAUUGCCUGGCCCUCCGUCGUCGCGGCCGAGUGACUCUUCGGAUUUCGUCUACGUUAAACCGAUUCUGCGUAGCCUUCUCCUUGUCACCUUUCGUGGUACUUUGGAAGCGCUUGUAAAGAAUCUUUGUUGAUGCUUGUUGCUUUACUAAUAGAUCAAAGUGUUGUUCUUUUGAUCAAUUUUGUUGCUUUACUAAUAGAUCAAAGUGUUGUUCUUUUGAUCAAUUUUGUUGCUUUACUAAUAGAUCAAAGUGUUGUUCUUUUGAUCAAUUUUGUUGCUUUACUAAUAGAUCAAAGUGUUGUUCUUUUGAUCAAUUUUGUGAUCUAAAUUAGAUGUUUAGGGUUUUUUUAUAUUUUUUGCAAUUUCUUGUAAUCAAACCUUCAUUACUGUGUUAAUGAUAUUUACACCCUUAGCAAAAAAAAAAAAAACUAUUGAAAAAGAUAGGCUAAAAUAUUUUUUUUCUUCCAAAUUUCACAUAUAUUCAAAAAUAAAACAAUAAAAAGAGUAAACCCACGUUCGUACUUCCAACUCAUUUUCCUCACGACAGUAUAAAGCAGUGUAAUGUUUAGUAGUACAUGACAUCAGUUGUUUCGUAAUAGAUUUUCUAUCGUGUUCCGUAUAUUGUAAACGUUAUUAUCAUAAUUUGUGUGUUUGGUAUAGUACCAAAAAAGUCAAGUAAUGCAUGUGGUAAAUUGGAUGGGUGUCAAUCGUUCAUGAGAUUGAUCACCUACGGUCUACAACGAUACUAUAAUUUGUUGUCAAUUAAAACUUACAAACUUCAAAUGAAUAUAUUCCAAAGAUAGGAGACCUAAGUAGUUGUCUUACCUUUUCUUAACGUGUUGCUACAAGUCUCAAAACCAUAUCACAACAUUGUAUAAUAUACUAUGUAUCGAGAUGGAGGGGGUCAUAUUUGUAUGGGACACGUGAUCUGUGCAUGCAGUUGCAGUGGAGCUGCGGGUUUGUUUGUACCAAUGAAAUUAGUUGUUUAGAUUAUGCGUUGCUUUAGUAUUGUAACCAAUACGUCUAAAUUUUAAUUGCUUUCUGUUUGGCGUACGUGAGCUAACUCACUUAGACCGAUGAGCAUCAAAAUGAUGGAUCAUUAUAUUUUCUCUGUUAAAUAAAGAUUGAGGUUAUAGACCUUGUUUUCUUUGUCAAAAGUUUGCUUACUAUGGACCGAGUUUAAAUCUGAAUGGACGAAUAAUUACAGAACUGAAGACACUUUUUUUUUUUUUGAAACAUCAAACUUCAUUAACUUUCUCAACCAAAGUUUGUUGGGACAUUAAAAGCUAGCGCAUCAGACAGAGCCUGUUUUGCUAAUCUAUCAGCUACAAGGUUCCUAUCACGGGGAAUCCAAUUAAAAGAAAAGCUUUUGAAAGUAAGAGAUAGAGAGAUGAUGUCUGCAGCCACUCCAUACAGUUCUGCAUUUGAGACUUGUUCAUUGAGGGCCUUGAUCAGCGUGGCUGAGUCAGACUCGAAUCGCACACGUGAGAGACCAAGAUCUCUGCAUUUGAUUAUCGCUUCUCGCAUAGCAAGACCCUCUGCUAGGAGAGGAGAUCGGACAAAUGUUGAUGGGAUCGCGUAGGAGAAAGUUCCAUUUGGCUCCUGUAUCGUCCAGCCCAAACCCGCUAGUUGUUGAUCCUCAUUCCAAGCCGCAUCUGUUCUGAUAAUAGCACCUGAAACCUGUAGAAGCAAGGGAGGUGGAGAGCGUAGGCGUUGAUCCGGUAAGCUCUGCUGACUUUGAGUCCACUCCUUAGCUGUAGCUAUCGCCUUCGUUAGAACUUCCUCUGCGGAGCAUCGUUUAUCUUCAAAAACAAGCUUGUUCCUCGUUGUCCACAGCUGCCAGAGAAUCCAUGGCACCAGGGGUCCCGACGUUACACCCGUUGGGGGGAGAUUCUUCCUUGAAAUCAGACCGUUCCAUGUUGUCCUUAAAUCUAUGGAUCCGCUAGUCUCGAUGCCCGGGGAGACAGGUGCUUGGCUCCAUACCUGUUGAGCAAAACCACAUUCGAGAAACAAAUGAUUUAUAGAUUCAGGUAAACCACAGGUUUUACACUUUCCUUCCACAUUGAUUUGUCUUGUUCUAAGUUGAGUUCCUACAGGUAAGGCGCCAUGGAACAGCUUUCAUAGGAAGAGUUUAACUUUUGGGGCAAGUUUAAGCUUCCAUAUGUUCUUUUGCCAGUUGAAGGCCGGUGUAGUUUGGAGGGUUGUAGGGAAGUCCCUUUGCUGCAGGAGAGCCGCAGUGUAUCCUGAUCUUGUAGUGUAUUCCCCAGACGCAUCCUUGAGCCAGAUUAUCUUAUAUGGGGCUCCUUCAAAGCUAGGUUUGAUCGAGAGUAUACGCUGCUCAUCGAGCGGUAGUAUCUGUCUGAUCUUUUCUACAUCCCAGGCCUUCUUAUCUUGAGUAAACAGGUCCGCGACCGUGCAAUUUACCAACGCUUCAGGAGCUGGUCCCAUUGGUCAAGUAAUGCAUGUGGUAAAUUGGAUGGGUGUCAAUCGUUCAUGAGAUUGAUCACCUACGGUCUACAACGAUACUAUAAUUUGUUGUCAAUUAAAACUUACAAACUUCAAAUGAAUAUAUUCCAAAGAUAGGAGACCUAAGUAGUUGUCUUACCUUUUCUUAACGUGUUGCUACAAGUCUCAAAACCAUAUCACAACAUUGUAUAAUAUACUAUGUAUCGAGAUGGAGGGGGUCAUAUUUGUAUGGGACACGUGAUCUGUGCAUGCAGUUGCAGUGGAGCUGCGGGUUUGUUUGUACCAAUGAAAUUAGUUGUUUAGAUUAUGCGUUGCUUUAGUAUUGUAACCAAUACGUCUAAAUUUUAAUUGCUUUCUGUUUGGCGUACGUGAGCUAACUCACUUAGACCGAUGAGCAUCAAAAUGAUGGAUCAUUAUAUUUUCUCUGUUAAAUAAAGAUUGAGGUUAUAGACUUUGUUUUCUUUGUCAAAAGUUUGUUUACUACGGACCGAGUUUAAAUCUGAAUGGACGAAUAAUUACAGAACUGAAGACACUAGUGUGUACAAACGGUUAUUGAAUACAUAUACUCUAUCAAUAGCGUGUGUACAAAAUGUUAAUAGCAUUACAUGUAUUGUUAGUGUGACAUAUUAUUUUGGUUAAUAUUUUUUUUUUCGACUUCUAAUAUCAGUACAUUAUAUUAUUUUGUUAGGUAAGUUGGUUGCUACGUGUACAUGAGCCUAUUUUGCAAUGGUGUUAGUAUCGUUAUUUUUUUUUUUAACGCUGAUUUAUUAUGAUAUUACAAUUAAGAGAAAAAUUAUAUAGACAAUCCGACAACCGACAAAAUUACCUGUUUAAUAAAUCACUUUUUCAGAGAAUUGAAACUUGGACCUACUGGUGUAGAAACAUUAAUGAACUCUUAGUCAAACCAUUGGACUAAAGGGGCUUCCACAUUUUAGUAUCGUUAUUUAACACAAGUAAAAUAUGAAUUAAGCUGAAAUUUUCCAAAUCUACCCGCAAGAUAUGAAAAUCUUUCAUAGUCAACAUUUGGAUAUGAAUACAUGUGAAAACAUCUUAAAUAUCAAAUUUUAUGACAUUGGAACUAUGAAAGAUAUGAAAGGACACCAAACUAAUUGGUUUAGUGACUUUUUGAUCACCUAGUAGAUAUCUAAAAGAUUAUGAAUUCGAUUUCCAUUAGAGAAAAUAUGAUAACUAUAAAUUGGGCUAUAUACCCUCUCUUUGUUCACUUACUUGUCACGCCAUCUUCUUCGAUUCUUUUAAAUUCAAUUUGUUAUCUCAGACCUGCCAAACUCUUCCCGACAAUGGCUUCCACGUCACGACCAAUCCUCCCAAUCUCCACCUCUCAAACUACUCCUACUUCAAAGUGAACUACCUCGCCGUCGCGACGGCGAUCGUCGGGUUCUCUUUGGUGACUCAUCCUUUCUCCCUCGCCUUCCUCCUCUGUCUCCUCGCUUCUUGGCUCUUCUUCUACCUCCUCCGUCCUUCCGAUCACCCCGUCGUCGUCUUUGGGCGUACGUUCUCUGAUAUGGAGACGCUUGGGUGCUUGAUCUUGUUUAGCGUCUUUGUGGUGUUUCUUACUGACGUUGGAUCCGUUCUUGUGUCGGCUGUGAUGGUCGGCGUCGCGUUGGUAUGUGCUCACGGCGCGUUUAGGGCUCCGGAAGAUUUGUUCUUGGAUGAGCAAGAGACGGCAGCUACUGGUUUUCUCUCUUUCCUCGGUAACGCCUCCUACUCCGCCGCGCCUGCCGUCGUUGCCGCUCGUGCCUAAGUAUAUAAUCUUGUUUUUAUUUCUUAUCUUUGCAUGUAAGUAUAUGUUUUACAACUUUUGUCUAAUCUUUAGCUUCUUCAACCUUUACGAUCUAUAACAGUCUAAUUGUGUUGGAAGAGUUGGAUCUGUUUUCAAGAUUUGAGCUUUGUUUCUCUUGGAUCUUGUUGAAAUAGUAGUCGACCUUUUGUAUGGGGAUAUCCAAAGUUAUAAGUUUUUGAACCUCCCCAUCAUAGAAGCAAAUACAAUAGGUGAUAAUGAAGGUUCUCUAAGAUGUUUCGUUGGUAACUGAGUGAAAUGAGCUAAGACAUGAAAACAGCAGCGUAGGAUUUAAAUUUUACAAGAAAUGAUAAUUCAAAGAGAACAAUGUGUUUGCCUUAUUGGGUGUUUCGUCUAGGUUCUAAUAAGGGACUUCUGAAUUUGGCUGCUGCGAUCAGUCUGAAGAUAAUGCUUACUUUCCAAUGGGAUAACUACUUUUCACAUAUUGUUUUUUUGCCAAGGCAAUAAACUACGGUUUGAAAUGGGAAGACUCCAAUUAAUGUCAAACCUUGAGGUAACAUUGGACAGAAAAAUAAUCUAACUUCUCAACAUAUCUUUGAUCUUGUCGUACCAUGAAAACAGAAUAAGAAGAAAAAAACGAUAUCUUUAACUGCCAACAACAUCGUUUUCUUAUAUAGUCACUUUAAUUCCAUCACUUAUAAUAUAUUUUCUAUAAUAUAUGAUCUAUGUAUAAAGUUUAUGAGUUUGGGAAGAGACCAACUUUCUUUAAUAAGUGGGAAAAUGUCAAAUGGUAACUUGCGCCACAAGCCUGAACUUUUAAAAGGAAGGUUUAGUUUGAAGUGUGAAUGGCUACCAAAAAGAUUUAUACUAUUAGGUGACAAUCCACCUUAGUUGAUAUUUAUAAGCCAACACGUGUUUACAUUGUUUUGCUUUUCGUUUUCAAGAGCCAUCUUCCUCCAGAUUUUCUUUCUUACGAUUAUUAUUGUUCUCACUUUCUUUGAUUUUUUCCAGAGAAUCAUAUUUCAAGAUCUCUCAUUUUUCCCAGAUUCAUCUCUUUGUAAUCUUUCUCUUCAACUCUAGUUUCAUGCGCUUAGGGUACAAGCCACCAAUUUGACAUCUUCCACCACACAAAAGUUAAUAAAUUAUGAAACUCAAAGUCUUUUUUUUUUUUGUCAAAACAAGUCUUAAUCGCAAAGAAAUCAAAUAACAUAUAAUAUCCCAAGUUAAUUUUUUUUUACUAGAAAAUAACGAGCUCGGGAAGAAAGUUUCCUCCUCCCCCCUUCCGGAUCUCGAGCCACAUGAUGGAAUAGCACCGGCUGCGUGUACUGGAGGCACUUCUUCUCUCUCUCAGCGAAUCUGAUGGUCUCUGUUUCGAAGACCCUAAGAGAGCUCUGUAGUUCUAGUGUCUCAAUGGGAGUAAGGCGUGCUCUCUUUAGUUUGAGGACGCAGAGACGUCUCUGAUUGUAGAGAGGCUUUGGUAUCGGCGGAUCUGUUGAAAGGAAUGGCGGUUCCCUUAGAUUGUUUCUCGUCAGUCUUGAUCCUUUCUACUCCGCCGUGACGGAUGAGGUCGAACGUGGAAGCUCGGACCCCUGAGACGGCGAGGAUCUUGCGUAAAUGCGGUGGUGACGCCUGCGUUUGUGGUCAUGGGGCACCUUCGGGGUGGGGUCUCUUUGCGGGGACUGAGGCGGAUUGGGCUUGGGCACCCCAUGAAGCUCUGAGAACCCGAUUGAAAAACCACUGUGUUCACCGGAGGGGAAGCUAGCUUCCGGAGCCUUCUUUCCCAUGACCUAUCUUCUUGCUGCUGAUGUUUUAUGCUUGUAGAUUUCUUUGUCCUUCUUGUUGUAACCUAGCCUUUACUGUUUCACCGCCACACCGACACCGUUAUACUAUUCCGAUUUGCCCAG